ensembl:lncRNA
ACUUUUUAAAAAAUAUAGAAUAUAACGAAUUGAGUGAAUAUGAUAGUAGUAUAAUUGCUUUUAUAACUACUUUUACAAAAUAUUAUAUAAAUCAUUUAGUUUUUAAAAAAAAAAAGUUAUGUAAUGAAGAAUAUGAUAUUUUAUAUCAUACAAAAAUUAAAUAUAUAUUUAAAGAUUUAUCAAAAAUAAUUCAUUUAAAUAAUGAGAACAUAAUAGAAGAAGUGGUCAAUAUUAUGUCCGAUUUAUAUCCAGUAUAUUAUAAAAAUUAUGAAUCAAAUCAGGCGGAAAGUGUAAAAUAUUACGAAAGUAAAAAAGGGGUUGAGAUUGGAAGUGUUGAUGAAAUUGGUGCGGAAGAUUGUUUUCCUUCUGCUACUUCCUCUGCUUUUUCCAACAGUGUUGUUUUGCUAAACAAUAGGAACCCUCCUAAUAGUAACAAAGAUGAACAUAGUAACUUCAGCCAUAAUAACAAUAGUAGUCAUAGGAGUAAUACUAAUAGUAGUAACACUCUCUAUGAUAUAAAUUUAUAUAAUAAAAAAAAAAACAUAAUUGACUUAUAUUUUGAUAAAUAUUUUGUAUAUGAAUCAUUUUUAAGUGAUACAUUAAGUAAUAAUAUCUACGAGAAAUUACAAAAAGUGAUUUUACAAAACGAAGUAAAUAAUGUUUCAUUAUACUAUUUAAAAAAUAGUAGUAAUGCUUGUAGUAAUAAUAAUCAUUUAAUUAAGGCUUUAUAUAAGCUAUUUAAUAGCAAUAUUAAAAAUGAUAUAAACUCUAAAUUUCAAUAUUAUGUUAAAUUAUUAUUUACAGAACAAUUUCAAAACAUUGAAGAGGUCAUUGACAUUUUUAAACACAUGUACUUUUUUAAUUUUCAUUAUAUUUAUUUGUUUUUUUACAUAAUUGGGUGUUUUUUUCAAAAAUUAAAAAAGAAUAUUGAAAAAGGAGAAAUGGUUAUUGUACAGUUAAAUAAAAGCAGUAGUACAACAUCGGAUAGUUCCCCGUCACAAGGUUGUGAAUUGGAGGGAAAUAGUAACAUCAUGAUGAGUGUGAGUAACAAUGUAGUUGGUUUGGGUACAACAAACGGUGUAAGAAGUGGGUAUAGUGUUCAAGGCAGACAGAACGAACGGAAUAAACAGAACGAAGAAACCGGUGCGAAAAAUAAAAAAACCAAUAAUAAAUUAAAUAUAACAUACGAAGAUGUAUGUAUUACAAUGUACAAAGAGAUACAUAAAAUGACAAAAGAUGAGAAUUUGAAUAUAUGUGUUUUUUACCCAUUGUUAAGUAUAUUAUGUAAACAUCAUAAUGACAUAAAUGAAACAAUUAACUUUUUUUAUAAAAAGGUUGAUAUAUAUAUGAAAAGUAAUGAAACUCAAUUAAAUAUGAUGAACACUAAUGAAAUAAUUAUAAUUUUAUUAUGUUUAAAUUAUAUACAUUGUAAUAUUUCACAAAUACCUAAAUUUUAUACGUUUUUAAUUAAUUUAUUUAAUGUAAUAGAAGAUAAAAAUAUUAGGAACAUUGUUAUGUAUUGCUUAAGUUCGUGUUGUCAAUAUACAAAUUUGGCUAGUUCGGAUAUCGUGUUUAUUUUGAAUAUCCAUAUGGAACAUUUGCAAUAUAUGUUAAGUCAUAGCUCUUGGAGAAGCUCAUUUGUUCCAUCAGAAAUGGGAAGUAUACAUGAGGAAGGUGUUACAAGCAGUGGUACACAUGUUGCUAACCUUAAGAACAUAACAACAGAACAGAACUGUUGUUGGUUAAACACACAAGAAAACGAUGUUAAAGAUACGACGACAGUUUUGAACAAUUGUGAUAAUUUUUAUUUUUUCAUUUCUCUUAGCAAUUUAUGCUUUUAUAUAUAUAAACACUACAAUAGUGAGCGAUUUGAUAGUAUAAUUAAAAAUAUAUAUGAUAUAAUUAUAAAUUUUUUGAAAAAAAACCAAAAAAUUAAUAACGCUAUAAUGAGUUUAACAAAUAUUAUGGUAUAUUUAUAUAUAAAAAAAGUAAUUACUAUACAUGAAAUAAUAACUAAUUUAAAUAUUUUUAUAACCAACAUAAGUAUCAAUUUGGUUUAUGACACAAAAUAUGUUAUAUAUGCUUUGUGUUCGAUGUAUAGAUUUUUAGCGCUAUAUUAUAAAAACAAUUUUGACAAUUUUCUGUUUGAGGAGGAAAGCGACAUGGGUAACAAGAUUAAUAACAAAGUGGAUAACAAAGUGGAUAACAAAGUGGAUAACAAAAUGGAUAACAAAAUGGAUAACAAAGUGGAUAACAAAAUGGAUAANNNNNNNNNNAAAAUGGAUAACAAAAUGGAUAACAAAGUGGAUAACAAAAUGGAUAAUAAGAAUUGUGGGAAUUUUGUUGGUUUGAGGGAAAACAGUAUUACGAGUGACAAAGUACAUAUUGACAUGCACAACAACAACGAGAACAUUAAAGAGAAGAUUAAAUGUUUGUCUAUAGUGCUACAUGAAGUCAUAAUUUACUAUUUCGACAAACAAGAAGAAGGUAAUAUCAGCUUAAUCGCAUAUUAUAAUAUGAUUGGUCUGAAAGGGUUGGGGGAAUGUAUCGCAUCUGACUUUUUUGAUAGCAGUGAUUAUUGUAAUAUGAGUAUUUUGUUUAUUAACAGAUUUAUAAAAAAGGAUAUUGAGAUAAUGAGACGUGUAAAUGAAACUAGUAAAAUGUUAGCACACAUGGACUCUUCUUCAGGGUCCUCUUCAUGUGACGAAGUGGAUCGAAAUGGUAUGAAUACAUUAGCUGUCAAUAACAGUAAUCGUUGUAGCAUGAUAUAUAAAAGAGAAUCAAAAUAUGUGAAUCAUGAUAUAAAUUUAU